GGACUUCCAAAACAACCAGGAGGUUGGCUUAGAAGCAGCCAUCCUUUAAAGAAAGCGUAACAGCUCACUGGUCUAAUUAAGAGGUCCUGCGGCGAAGAUGUAACGGGGCUAAAGUGAUGCACCGAAGCUUAGGGUUCAGUAUUUAUACUGAGCGGUAGCGGAGCGUUCCGUAAGCCGUUGAAGCGUCCUGGUAAUGGGGCGUGGAGGUAUCGGAAGUGCGAAUGCUGACAUGAGUAGCGAUAAAGAGGGUGAGAUGCCCUCUCGCCGAAAGACCAAGGGUUCCUGCGCAAGGCUAAUCCGCGCAGGGUGAGUCGGCCCCUAAGACGAGCCCGAAGGGGGUAGUCGAUGGGAAACAGGUUAAUAUUCCUGUACCUGGUGGUGUGUGACGGAUCUCGUAAAUUGUCUGCCCUUAUUGGAUUGGUGCAGGCCGUGAAGAGGUUCCAGGAAAUAGCCCCACCGUAUAGACCGUACCCGAAACCGACACAGGUGGUCAGGUAGAGUAUACCAAGGCGCUUGAGAGAAGUCUCCUGAAGGAACUCGGCAAAUUGCCUCCGUACCUUCGGAAGAAGGAGGCCCAAUGUUAAGGCAACUUUUCAUUGGGGGCACAGGCCAGGGGGUAGCGACUGUUUAGCAAAAACACAGGGCUCUGCUAAGUCGGCUUCAAGACGACGUAUAGGGUCUGACGCCUGCCCGGUGCCUGAAGGUUAAGAGGAGGUGUGCAAGCACCGAAUUGAAGCCCAGGUAAACGGCGGCCGUAACUAUAACGGUCCUAAGGUAGCGAAAUUCCUUGUCGGGUAAGUUCCGACCUGCACGAAUGGCGUAACGACUUCCCCACUGUCUCCAGCACAGGCUGAGUGAAAUUGAAUUCCCCGUGAAGAUGCGGGGUUCCCGCGGUCAGACGGAAUGACCCUAUGAACCUUUACUAUAGCUUCGCCUUGGCGUUAGCGACCGUAUGUGUAGGAUAGGUGGGAGACUAUGAAGCCGGGGCGCUAGCUCUGGUGGAGUCAUCCUUGAAAUACCACCCUUACUG
rnacentral:rRNA from 1 species